rnacentral:rRNA from 1 species
CCUACGGGGGGUAGCAGUGGGGAAUAUUGGACAAUGGGCGAAAGCCUGAUCCAGCCAUGCCGCGUGUGUGAAGAAGGCCUUCGGGUUGUAAAGCACUUUCAGUGGGGAAGAAAGCCUUGGGGCUAAUACCCUCGAGGAAGGACAUCACCCACAGAAGAAGCACCGGCUAACUCCGUGCCAGCAGCCGCGGUAAUACGGAGGGUGCGAGCGUUAAUCGGAAUUACUGGGCGUAAAGCGCGCGUAGGCGGUCUGAUAAGCCGGUUGUGAAAGCCCCGGGCUCAACCUGGGAACGGCAUCCGGAACUGUCAGGCUAGAGUGCAGGAGAGGAAGGUAGAAUUCCCGGUGUAGCGGUGAAAUGCGUAGAGAUCGGGAGGAAUACCAGUGGCGAAGGCGGCCUUCUGGACUGACACUGACGCUGAGGUGCGAAAGCGUGGGUAGCAAACAGGAUUAGAUACCCUAGUAGU